CGCAAGUUGCGCCCGAAGCCAUUAGGUCGAGGGCACGCCUGCCUGGGCGUCACGCAUUGCGUCGCCCCCUCCCAUCCCUCUCAUUUGCGAAAGUGGGUGGAUCUGAGGGGACGGACAUUGGCCUCCCGUGCUCUUACUGUGCGGCCGGCUUAAAUUUGAU
rnacentral:rRNA from 1 species